GCCGGGGUCCCUCAGCCAGGUAGAGGGCAGGCCUGGAGAGCCUGUGGCCCUAACCCGGGCCGCGUGGGUUCAAAUCCCACCCCCGGCG
rnacentral:tRNA from 2 species